GUUUUAAUUUCAUCAUUCGCCGCCUGAAGAGACAAGAUGGCGGAGCUUGCGAAAUCGAAAAUUGGUACUUGAAAGUCAAUGGUUGAUCAUGAUGACCAUCUUUAAUUUAAUGGGGAAAGAUUAACCAAUAUUUGCAGCUGGAGAGGCUAUCACCACAGUUCAAUGAUUUAGUUAAGACAAUGAAAUAGAAGAACUUCAUGCUAACACUUGCAUCAGUGGAAGUACUUCUUAUUGGAUAGAGAACUUUACAAGGUCAGCCAUCAGCUUUUGAAGUUGCUUUCUUGGCACAUCAUGCUGUCCAGUGGAGUUCAUACCAUAUGCCAGGCCUUUAUACAUGGUCAAAGAAGAUGAAUUUGUUAUUCAAUUGUGAAAUUUGAUUUAAGGAGGACUUUCAUAUAUGAUGAUUAUAUUCAGCAGAUUAUCUUCAAGUGUGCACUUCAUAGAAUCACAGUUUCUAGGAGGUUUUCAGUUUAAAGUUAGAUUAAUUGAAAAAUAA
rnacentral:lncRNA from 1 species